GCCGCUUUACGCUCAGUUGGUAGAGCAACUGUCUUGUAAACAGUAGGUCAUCCGUUCGAUUCGGAUAAGCGGCACCA
rnacentral:tRNA from 1 species